rnacentral:rRNA from 1 species
UCACUAUUGGAGCGGCCGAUGUCGGAUUAGCUAGUUGGCGGGGUAACGGCCCACCAAGGCGACGAUCCGUAGCUGGUCUGAGAGGACGACCAGCCACACUGGAACUGAGACACGGUCCAG